rnacentral:rRNA from 1 species
UUUAUGGAGAGUUUGAUCCUGGCUCAGGAUGAACGCUGGCGGCGUGCCUAAUACAUGCAAGUCGAGCGAACGGACGAGAAGCUUGCUUCUCUGAUGUUAGCGGCGGACGGGUGAGUAACACGUGGAUAACCUACCUAUAAGACUGGGAUAACUUCGGGAAACCGGAGCUAAUACCGGAUGAUAUUUUGAACCGCAUGGUUCAAAAGUGAAAGACGGUCUUGCUGUCACUUAUAGAUGGAUCCGCGCUGCAUUAGCUAGUUGGUAAGGUAACGGCUUACCAAGGCAACGAUGCAUAGCCGACCUGAGAGGGUGAUCGGCCACACUGGAACUGAGACACGGUCCAGACUCCUACGGGAGGCAGCAGUAGGGAAUCUUCCGCAAUGGGCGAAAGCCUGACGGAGCAACGCCGCGUGAGUGAUGAAGGUCUUCGGAUCGUAAAACUCUGUUAUUAGGGAAGAACAUAUGUGUAAGUAACUGUGCACAUCUUGACGGUACCUAAUCAGAAAG